ACGGUUAAGCAUCUUCGGAUGUGUAUAAAGUGGCGAACGGCUGAGUAACACGUGGGCAACCUGCCCUUUGCACUGGGAUAGCCUCGGGAAACCGAGGUUAAUACCGGAUACUCCAUAUUUGUCGCAUGGCGAAUAUGGGAAAGCUCCGGCGGCAAAGGAUGGGCCCGCGGCCUGUUAGCUAGUUGGUGGGGUAGUGGCCUACCAAGGCAAUGAUGGGUAGCCGGGUUGAGAGACCGACCGGCCAGAUUGGGACUGAGACACGGCCCAGACUCCUACGGGAGGCAGCAGUGGGGAAUCUUGCACAAUGGGCGAAAGCCUGAUGCAGCGACGCCGCGUGCGGGAUGAAGGCCUUCGGGUUGUAAACCGCUUUCAGCAGGGACGAGGCCGCAAGGUGACGGUACCUGCAGAAGAAGCCCCGGCUAACUACGUGCAGCAGCCGCGGUAAUACGUAGGGGGCAAGCGUUAUCCGGAUUCAUUGGGCGUAAAGCGCGCGUAGGCGGUCUGUUAGGUCAGGAGUUAAAUCUGGGGGCUCAACCCCUAUCCGCUCCUGAUACCGGCAGGCUUGAGUCUGGUAGGGGAAGAUGGAAUUCCAAGUGUAGCGGUGAAAUGCGCAGAUAUUUGGAAGAACACCGGUGGCGAAGGCGGUCUUCUGGGCCAUGACUGACGCUGAGGCGCGAAAGCUAGGGGAGCGAACAGGAUUAGAUACCCUGGUAGUCCUAGCUGUAAACGAUGGACACUAGGUGUGGGGAGAUUAUACUUUCCGUGCCGCAGCUAACGCAUUAAGUGUCCCGC
rnacentral:rRNA from 1 species